CUGUUAGGUCUUUGAAACUAAUAACCUCAAGCUGGUUGAUACAUCCUGUUCCUAUUCUGAAUACUCAACUUGUAUAGUGUUCGUGAAUCGAAUCAAGCACAUUCACUCAGCAGCAUUAUUCACUAGGCUGAUAGUUUUCAUGCCAGAAGCAAGCAUUCAACUGCUCGUCAUUGAAGAUCAGAAUCAAGUUUUUGCAAAUAAGCUAAAAGCAGUUUUAUACAUAUUGGAUAUAUACAUGCAAUUAACUUAUUUUUGCUUUCCUGUGGGCUUUCUACAAAGUCAGAUGGAAGAGUCAGCAGUAGCCGUUAGCACUUGCCCCUGGUAUAUGAAAAAUGGAAAUUUUGCGAAGAAUUUGAUUCCAAUUAUGAAGCGUUCUCAACAAAUGUUUUCAAUCAAAGUUUGGGGAUUAUUCGAUGUGGGCCGUAUAGGAUUCGUAAAUCUUUGCAGAUUCACAUUUUCGGUUUACACCUUUCUAAAAACCGUCAAAUAGGAAGAACCACAUUUCACCUGAAAGUUCUUGCGAAGAAUGCAUUACAAUAAAAUAUUUUGUAGUUAUUUAUUCAAUCUCAAA